rnacentral:rRNA from 1 species
UACGUAGGGGGCUAGCGUUGUCCGGAUUUAUUGGGCGUAAAGAGCGUGUAGGCGGCCAGGUAGGUCUGCUGUGAAAACUCGAGGCUCAACCUCGAGACGUCGGCGGAAACCAUCUGGCUAGAGUCCGGAAGAGGGGAGUGGAAUUCCUGGUGUAGCGGUGAAAUGCGCAGAUAUCAGGAAGAACACCCGUGGCGAAGGCGGCUCUCUGGGACGGUACUGACGCUGAGACGCGAAAGCGUGGGGAGCAAACAGG